UGGUGAGAUUUGAAUUCAGAACCUGUU
rnacentral:piRNA from 1 species